rnacentral:rRNA from 1 species
CAGUAGCCACGGUAACACGAAGGGGGCUAGCGUUGUUUGGAAUUACUGGGCGUAAAGCGCACGUAGGCGGACAUUUAAGUCAGGGGUGAAAUCCCGGGGCUCAACCCCGGAACUGCCUUUGAUACUGGGUGUCUAGAGUAUGGAAGAGGUGAGUGGAAUUCCGAGUGUAGAGGUGAAAUUCGUAGAUAUUCGGAGGAACACCAGUGGCGAAGGCGGCUCACUGGUCCAUUACUGACGCUGAGGUGCGAAAGCGUGGGGAGCAAACAGGAUUAGAUACCCCUGUAGUCCCUGUCUCUUAUAA